rnacentral:tRNA from 1 species
GGGGCCGUGGUCUAGUGGCUAUGACGUUGGGCUCCAGAAAGUACAACAGGCUUGACUGACCCUGCGGGGGAUGAAGAGUUUCUGGAGCGGGGAAACCCAAAUGUCGAGGGUUCAAGUCCUUCCGGCCCCACCA